UCUCAAGAAAAGUUGGUUAUUUGAUCUUUCCUACUGGGUGAUGGAAUAUUUGGAUUUCAGGUAUAGGAGAAAGAGGGAAAAGCUGUUUUAAAUAAGGACUGCAGGACGAAAAAUGAAUAUCAUGGUUGGUAGUAUCAUUUUACAUGUUUCAUUCUCUACCUACUUUUGUGAUUGCGAAGGUAAAUAUUUGUAUUCAUCGAGAAGAAAAUGAGUUAUUUUCUUGGCUGCAUUGGGGUGAAAUAAGCUUCCAGAAAAACCAAUUAAUUAUCUUUACUUUGGACUGUAUAUUAUAUUGGCUCUGUUAAAAUCAGGAUCCCUAAAUUGUAUGUUGUGUGUACUCUUGCCUUUAAUAGGUAUGAUACAGAGGCUACAUAUUUUGAUGAAGGUGUUAGAUCUUCAAAGCGGAAACAUUUGGAAGAGAAGCUUUUGCAACUCAUCCAACCAGCAUACCAGUCCAUGUUGGGACAUAUACGCUCUGGGACCUUGGAUAGAUUCAAAGAAGCAUUUGAGAAUACCUUGAAUGAGGGUAAAGAAUUUUCUGUGGCUGCUCGUGACUGCACAGAUUAUUUUAUGGCACAGUUUGAUGAAGCAUCUGCAGGUACAGUUCUAUACAUAAAAAGUGCCAUGCCUGAUGUUACUUGGAUGGAUACGAAUUCUUUUCACUCAAUUACGAGAUUCACUUUUUUUCUUCUUCUUUCUUUUCUCAUCAAAUGAUAACAUCUUGGAAGGCAUUUGGAUGAGGCACAUAGCAUUACUGCUAGUGGCUACUUAGAGAUAUUUUGUUCUUUUUUAGUAAAGCUCUAGGAUUGUUCCUGAUGAGGUUGAGAACAUUUUGUAUUUAUAGUUCACAGGAGGAUGUUAUUCCAAAAAAGAGAUUGAUGAAAUGAGGAUAGAGUGGGCAGAGUUUCUAAGUUCGAUUGAUGAUUGAUGAUAAUGGUGUAACUUUGACACUCAAGUAACCUCAUUUUUGACUCACAUGUAUUAUGAUCAACAAUAUUUUUUUGGAUUUGAUGUAGGAUGUUUGUUUGUAUGAUGGAUACUUUUUCAAUGUAGGAUGAUAAUUAACUUUGAAACUAAUGAAUGAC